rnacentral:rRNA from 1 species
AGCUCCAAUAGCGUAUAUUAAAGUUGUUGCGGUAAAACGCUCGUAGUUGGAUUUCUGUCGAGAAUGGCCGGUCACGAUUUUGUCGUUGCAUCUGGUUCAGUCUUGGCAUCCUCAUGGGGAACGUCCCUGCGCUUCACUGCGUGGUGCGGUACUCAUGACUUUUACUUUGAGGAAAUUAGAGUGUUCACGGCAGGCAAUCGCCCUGAAUAUAUUAGCAUGGAAUAAUAAGAUAGGACCCUGGUUCUAUUUUGUUGGUUUCUAGAGCCAAGGUAAUGAUUAACAGGGACAAUUGGGGGCAUUCGUAUUAACACGUCAGAGGUGGAAUUCUUAGAUUGUGUUACGACGAACUACUGCGAAAGCAUUUGCCAAGGAUGUUUUCA